ACAAUUUUCAAAGCCUGCCUGUGCCUGAAUGUGCAUGCUGUGUGAUGGGCAGUUCUUAGUCAUAGGCAUGCAGAUGACUGGUAGGAUAACUGGUGCUGGGUAAGAUGCCACAAGCAGUCAAAAUUGUUGUUUAUUUUUUAUUGAUCACAUGUAUUUCCAUACAUGGAAAUAAGAAAAUUAAGUUGAAAUUAAACAUAAUGAAGUCACCCCCAAAAUGUUACUUUAUAUCUAUUGGAAUACAAACAAAUGCCAUUUAAGACAGGCUAGAAAACUUUUUUUCCCCACUGAAAGUUUCAAGCAGCUUUUCAGCUCAAAAAAGAUGAGAAAAAUUGCUCUAGAAAAAUAAAGUAUCUGAAAUAGCUAAAUCAAGGUUCCUGGGGCACAGCUGGGGAAGCUUAAAAGCAAAAUAAAGGGAUUGAAAACAGCUGAAAAGUGACUGAAGAAAAACAGUGCUUGCUAGGGGCAGUCAGAUUUAGGCUUGUUGGUAUGAGUCAGGAACAGCUCUGUAUUUGUGUGUCUGAAGUUUUGCUCAUGGUGAGCAGGUUUGCUCCUGGAGAUGCAUAGUCUCAUAUGUGGCUGUUUAAUGAGCAGAAACUGUCCUGCUGGUUUUGUUUGAUAUUUCACCUGAAGUCAAAGGAACAAUCUAAUUCUUCACUUUUUUUUUGUUGGUGGCACACAAAUCCUGGGGAUACUGUUAUGUGUGCUUCUAGCAAACAGAUGUCUUGAAGAAGGAUACUGAGAGAAUGAUUCUAUGAAUCUAAUGGUGGUAAAAUAAAUUUGUAUUGUGGUAUAGAUUAUACACAUGAAUUUAUACCAUCUGUGCCAAUAAAUGUAUAUUGGAAUGGACUACCCUUCAGUGGUUGAGAUAUCUGCUGGGGCUGGUGGCACAAAAACUAUGGCAAAAAUAUGGAAAAUUUACAAGGUACAAGUAGCAGACCCCAGUCCAGCCAUGUCCUGGACCAGUUAUGGAUGUUCAAAGUCUGAGAUUGCCAUCAACAUCAGUCCAACAUGGAUUGUGAACUCAAGCUGGGUUCAAGAGCUGUUGCAGUCUGAACUUCACCCGUUACUGUUGGCUGAAAGGGGACCAUUAUCUCCUCACUAAAGAGUAGAGGUCACCUUUCUAAUAGCAUCUGGGAUAGUUCAUGCAAGGAUGAAUCACUCUUGGACUACUUUGUCUUCUGCUACACAGAAGGUUCCAGGAGAAUAUUCUAAGCUCUUCUGUGCUGUUAUAAACAAAGUUACUGUAAUUAUCAGAGAAAUGCAACGAAGACCAAGAGAACUGCUCUUCUCUUUCUGUACAGAAGAGUGAUGGAGACUCUAAAAGGCUCCAGAAUACUCUCAAGACUCCAGUGACUGUGGGGUUUGGUUUUUUUUUUUUUUUUUUGUGUGUGUGUGUGUUCUUUUUCCUUUUGUUUUUCCAUUGCUUUAAUUUAUUUAUUUAUUAUUCACAGUCAAACAAAAAUGCUUUCUUUUACAGCUACUCUCAGUUUAAAGCACAAAACUCUGGUUUUAUUUGUUGUGCUGGUUCUGGCUGAGUUAAUUUUCUUUAUUGUAGCUAGUAUGGGGUCAUGUUUUGGUUUUUUGCAGAAAACAGUGUUGACAAUAUGAAAAUGUUUGCGUUAUUGCCGAGCAGUUCCUACACGGUGUAAAAGCCUUUUCUGCCCCUCACCCCAUCCCACCAGUGAGGAACCUGGGAGUGCACAAUGAGUUGAGAGGUGACACAGCUGGGACAGCUGACCCAACUGACUCAAGGGAGAGUCCUUCACACUGAGCACAUAGAGCUGGGGAAAGAAGGAAAGGGAGAACUUGGAGUGAUGAUGUUUGUCUUUCCAAGUCACUGUUAUGUGUGAGGGAGCUCUAUUGUCCUGUCCUCUGUUGUCCUCCCUGACCAUGGGAACAUUGAAAGAAUUCUUUGUUUUGUUUUGCCUGUAUGCAGGGCUUUUGCUUUACCUAUUAAACUGUCUUUAUUUCAAUCCAAAAAUAUCCUCACUUUUAUUCUUCCAGUUUCCUCCUCUCAUCUUGAUGAGUGCAUGUGAAUGAGUGGCUUAGUCAGCUGCUGGGGUUAAACCAUGCCAUGUGUCCAGGAGAUCAAGGGUGAGAUAGAUAUCUAAGAUAGUUUAGGUCAAUUAUUCUUUGGUGAAGUAGCAUUAAUAUCGUGUAUCUUCAAAAACUGCAUCUUUCUCCUAGGUAUGUAUUUGUUAACACCAGUGCAACCAUUUAAAUGUUUCAAAGAAAACACCUUAAUUGGAGUAAAUAAAAGAAUAAAUUUCAGGUAUCUUAUAUAUUUGCAGAAGAGGUCUUUAUUAAACUCCCAUCAUCACCCCUUCAAAUAGUUCUGGAAUUAUAUGAGACAGGGUAGAUAUCUAAAUCUACAAGACACAGGGUAGAUAUCUAAAUUUCUGUUUUCAUCUGCAAGUGGUGGUGGGGUAGGUGGGUGCCUGGGGAAUUCAAAUGUUAUGGUUUUUGUAGACAGACUUAUGGCCAUAAAAAUUACUUACUGCAUCACAAAAGAAUCUAAAUAUUCCUGGAAUAAUGGCAUAGGGGCACAAGGUAAAUAGGCAGGGGAUGAGGCAGUGGUUUGCAGGAUAAUUUGGUUAGAAAGAAUUAAACUAUUAUAUGAGGUAGCAAAGCUUUCUUGGAACAGUGCAUAGGUAUUUUUUAAACUGAAAUGCUGACAAGGUGGUUUCUAUCUUUCAUAUCGGCAACAGAGUGUAACCAACUCUGUCAUGCACUAUCCCUCUGUGGGGCUGAUAGUGUCCCAGUGCCAAGGAUAUCCUGUGCAUUGGCACCGCAUAUUUGAGAUAUGAGAAUGAAGCUUUUUAUCUCCUUUUAACACUGUAAAAGCACAGAGGGUAUGUUUGCAGAGCACAUAAUGCAGUGUCACGCAGGAUAGAAGAAUUUGCCCUAGGAGAGACCUAAAAACAGGCUGGGCAGCAACACUGCUGCCUGAGAGCAGUGCUGCUGCCUGACAGCCUCUGGCUCCUGGCACAUAGGGCUCACAUGUGCACUUGCUGUGGUUAUCUCUGCAUGGCUGUCACUCCUCUGGUGGGGCUUGGCCUCUGUAAGGACAUGCUUUUAAUCAGUGUAGAUAACCACUUUUAAUCCUCUUAAUUUAAAUUGGUUAUCUGAAGAAUGUGGCAAUUACUCUAGGCCUUGGAAUAUUUGGAUUCAUGUCUCUAACCUAUGCCAGCUUUUCAGGCCAGAAAAUCAACUCUUAAAUAUUGGCCUUGUAGUGCUUCUGAAGGCUGCUGGAGAUAUCAUAAAAACUUAUUGAUUGGGGUUAGACAUAGCUGAGCACUAAAGACUUAAAAAGAUCUAGAGGAAAAAUUUCUGAUCACAGAAUGGGUAAAGCUGGAAGAGACCAGAGUUGUUUGGUCAUCUGGUCCAACCUCCCUGCUCAGGCAGGAUUACCCUAGAGCACAUGGCACAGGAUUGCAUCUAGACAGUUCUUGAAUAUUUCCAAUAACAGAGACUCUAAGAUCUCUCUGGGUAACCUGUUCCAGUGCUCUGUCACUCACACUGUGGAGUUUUUACUCAUGUUUAGGUGGAAUUUCUGUGCAUCAGUUUCUGCUUGCUGCCUCUUGUCCUGUUGCUUGGCUCCACUGAGCAGAGCCUGGCUCCAUCCUCCUGCCACCCUCCCUUCAGGUUCUCACAGACAUUGAUGAGCUCCCCUCCCAGCUGUGUCUUCUCAAGGCUGAACAGGCCCAGCUCCCUCAGCCUGUCCUCAUAGCAGAGAUGUUCCAGUCCCUUCAUCAUCUUUGUCCCUCUCCUCUGGACCUGCUCCAGGAGCUCCAUGUCUCUCUUGUACUGAGGAGCCCAGAACUGGACACAGAACUCCAGAUGAGCUUCACUAGGGCUGAGUAGAGGGGCAGGAUCACCUCCCUCAACCUGCUGUCAGUGCUCUCCCUAAUGCACCCCAGGGUACCCCUGGCCCUCCUGGCCACAGGGACACUGCUGGCUCAUGGACACUUGGUGUCCACCAGGAGCCCCAGGUCCUUCCUACAGAGCUGCUUUGCAGCAGAUCAGCCUCCAGCCUGUGCUGGUGCUUGGGGUUACUCUUCCCCAGGUGAAGUACCCUGUAUUUGUCUUUUUUGAAUUUUAGAUGGUUCUUCUCUGCUCAACUCUCCAACCUGUUGAGGUGAGAGACAGAAUCAAAAGCCUUGCUGAAGUUGUGGUACAAAACAUCCACUGCUUUCCCCUCAUCCAUCCAUGUUGUUGUUUCAUCAUAGGAGGCAAGCAGGAGGGGGAGGAGCUUCAGCAUCUUCAUUUUUAUCCCAUGACUUGUCAAGGGAGCUGCUGCCGCAAAGCAUCAACUCUUCUCUCAACACUUCUGAAUUUUCAGUUUUGUGCAAGUGAAACAUGCCUUGAUGACAUGUUUGUUCUGUGAGAAGACUGUAUUCCUCAAAGAAAGUGAAAGCUGAUUGUCUCAUUUGAAGCUAAGAAAACAGACAUGAAAAUAAUAAUCUUGAGAGACUGCAACAGCAAGACAGUAUUUCAUCCAACAGGUGCCUUAAAAGAAAUUCCUCCACAUACAGGCUGAAUUAAAAAAAUAUUUUUAUUUACAAGAGUAAAUAAUGUAGUGCAAGGCAAGUGGAUUUAACCCUCAAUAAUGCAUAGAUUGAUGCAAUUUAUAGUCUGUGAUCUACAUCAUUUUGCAGAGGUGACUGCACACCUGCUGUAAAGGUUAGACCCUUCCUACAGCCACUUUACAGACAGCUUUAAAUCAGAUAGAAAGUAUUUGCACUCCAUACAUGUUAUCCAUAUGUCCCAUCCAACAUUUAGCAAAUGGACUGUCACUUAAAUAUGUCUUUUAGAGUCAUUAUAGAACAUGAAAUAAAUCCUUACCAGUGUUAUCUACAGAACAAUACAAAAAUAAUUUUUGUUCACUUUCAUGUCACCUGAUCACAAUUCUUUUAUUUAUUCAUUGGGGAGCUCCUUUCUCUAAUCAGCGGCUCUUGGCAGGAAGAGAAACAUUUUGUGUCCACCAGGAAAUGUGGAUGCUUGUAAAACCUUGACUAAAACUUAGCAAUCAUAACCAAUAUGUUAUGACCAUAUUGCAAAUAUUCCUGGUGUGUUUUCUUUCAAAACAAAACAAUUUUACAUUGAAAAAUCAGCAUGGAACAUAAAAUGCCAAAAACCUCAUUGUUACCAUUGCAUGUACUGAAGUCCUGACUGGUUUCCAUGGAACUUGGAAAGUAUGGGUGACUGGAUUUUGCUUUUAUGUAAUUUCCAUGAUUCAGACUUGGAAAACUUUGCUAAUUUUACCAAUAAAUAAGCUCAAAUGCAGUAAAAACAA